rnacentral:rRNA from 1 species
GAUGAACGCUGGCGGCGUGCCUAACACAUGCAAGUCGAGCGAUUCUCUUCGGAGAAGAGCGGCGGACGGGUGAGUAACGCGUGGGUAACCUGCCCUGUACACACGGAUAACAUACCGAAAGGUAUGCUAAUACGAGAUAAUAUGCUUUUAUCGCAUGGUAGAAGUAUCAAAGCUCCGGCGGUACAGGAUGGACCCGCGUGUGAUUAGCUAGUUGGUAAGGUAACGGCUUGCCAAGGCGACGAUCAGUAGCCGACCUGAGAGGGGGAUCGGCCACAUUGGAACUGAGACACGGUCCAAACUCCUACGGGAGGCAGCAGUGGGGAAUAUUGCACAAUGGGCGAAAGCCUGAUGCAGCAACGCCGCGUGAGCGAUGAAGGCCUUCGGGUCGUAAAGCUCUGUCCUCAAGGAAGAUAAUGACGGUACUUGAGGAGGAAGCCCCGGCUAACUACGUGCCAGCCGCCGCCGUAAGAC